GUUCUUGAGUGGGUUGGCGUGCCGGCGGCCUUGAAGGAGCGGGAUCGGGUUCGUCUCGAUCUCUCUUCUUUUUCUUUGACCUCCAUCUGUAGCACGGGGCGUGGAACCGACUCGAAUUCGACCCGCAGCCUGUCGAUGCUAGCGAACAGAUUUUUCACCUCAGGAUCAUCUAGCCUGCAUAGAUGUUUGGCACUGCUUUUUUUAGUGUGGUUGCACAGUGAAGUUCAAGACACGUUCAGAGAGCCGGGGUUUUUCGAUUCUGAGAACAAGGUUAUUAUCUUGGUUCUCAGACAGCAAUUACCUGGUUUUACGCUCUGGAUUUGAAAAUGCCAAUGCUCUGAUUUUAUCAGCUAAACUGAAUGCGGCUACCACCUGAAACAAGGCACAAGGUAAUUAAAAUUUAUAUAAACGUAAAGCACCUAUUCAGAGUCAGGGUUCCUCAUGUCAGCUGUAGCUAGAGAUCUUGUUGUCCUCUGUUAGAAUCUUCUGUCUCGGGAAGCUGGGUAAAGAAUAGUCACCUUUUUCUCAGUUUCCAAAUAUUCUUCUUCGAGGUAUUUACGUGGGUUUGACUGCUUUGACAGACCAUUACCUCCAUCAUCCGUUGAUACUGAUCUGUCGACGCAACUAAUAGCAUAAGCAAAACAGGUCUCUUCACCCUUGUACAACAAAAACUAGAUUAGCAAAUGAGAACUAUACCUGUCACUGAAAAUUCUCAAGUUAUCAACAAAGGUCUUUAUACAAUCUACAGAGGUGCUCAGCUCGUCCUAGAGAACCAAAAGAAAUAACCAGUUGAGACACAAUAUGAAAUGAAAAAAGUAGUAGCAAAAGGCCCUUUUCCAUUGUAUAUCACUUCUUUUCAAAGUAAAAGUCAAGAGUACCACGCAUGCGGAAACAUGAUGCUUAAUCAAAUUCACAAGGCAGACUCCACAUCUAUCCAGUUCAUCACUGCAAUCAGCAAAUAUUCAAAACAACAAACUUAUGUCAAUAAAAUGUUUGUAUGCAGAUAUCAUCAAUUGGUAUUUUCAGUGAAAAGAGUGGACAUACUUGGCCUGUUUUUCCUUUAUUUCUUCAUAUAAGGACUGCAACUUCCAUGUAUCUUCUAAAAAGUCGAUCCAAGCACGGACAGUGCUUGCUUCUACUUUGGAGGAAGCAACAGAUCUUGAUAGUUCAUCUUCCUAAAGUAAGCGUAUAGCAGAAACACUGAGUAAGUGAAAAGCCUUACUUCCCUAAAGCAUUUUCUAGUCUAGAAACUAACAAAGAAAAAGUCAUCAAACCUUUGCUUUCAAGUGUAGCACUAUCUGAUUGCUGGCUUCAUCAAAUUGGUCUCUCUCCUCUCUAGUUUUUUUUAGCUUCACGACAGUCGCACUCAGUUUCGUAUUUACCUGUAAUCUGAGUUUCAGAAUCUCUCUUAAAAAUAAGCUUCUCAUGGAAUCAGAGCCUAAGCCUCUACAGAACAGUAAGAGUAAACCUAAUAAGCAAAGACGAAACACUGUGCAACCUUCAUUCAGCUAGAAUUUGAACAUUAAACUUUACUUCUAGAUAAGGUAAACUGGAGUUAGAAAUACAUAUGAUUAUUCAUAAUUAUUAAAUAUUUAUUGAAUAGAAGUAGCAUAAUACAAUUAAAACAUCUGAGCAUUUUUCAUGCAUAGCUGCAUGUUAUGGUGGGCUUUUUCCCAUGCAUGGUUGCCUGUUGAGGUGGCAUAGCUGCAUGUUGAGAUAAAUAUGUUAGUGGGGAUCACCUCUUUAGUUAUAUAGGAUCAGUAGGACCCUAGAUGUAUGAUUUAUACUAACGUAUUGUAUAAAGAGCACGAUCAUUAGAUAGAUCCACCAAUUAUGUUGCUCAUUAUUAUGUCUGAGAUGCUAGAAAAUAAUAACAAUUGUGGGAUACUACUAAGAUAGCAAAUCAUAAUUCAAAGCUGCAAUCUAAUUAUAGCUGAUUUUUAAUCCCGAAACAUCUCCUCGUGAUAUCUUCUCAUAAAAUAUCUGUACAGUAUAAAGGUACAAUUAACUUUAUCUCUAAUGUAUCAUCAAGGCAUAAUUAGAAUAGUUUAAUGUGACCCAUUUUGAGUUGAUGCAGCUUCUGGUGCAAUAGGUCAACGUGAAUAGACAAGCCCAGAUCUAAUGGACUCUGCCAGGUGAAUUACAUGUUUGUUUACCUCUCAAAAAUGAAACCAAAAUUGCUGAAUUCCAAACGUAAGCAAGAUAUUACCAGAUUUUUUUGUUCCGCAAAUUACUGAAAUGGAUUGAAAGAACUGGAUUGCGACUAUGAUUUUGUUAAAGUGGAAAAGGAAAGGGCAGUCAUACUUUGCUUAGUUCUUCCUCAAGUUGAUCCCUUUGCUUCUGGAGUCCAGAGAUCUCACCUUCUAAUUCCUUUUACAAAAAUACAAAUAAAAAAUUCAGACAAGGCCAUCCAUAUGACCAGGACAAGACUGAAGACAAAUAUUAGAGCUUGUGAGAUGUGUUUCUUUGUUUAUCCUUAGCAACAACAAUUCGAUUUAUAUUAAUGAUGAAGUUAAAAUAUUACUUUUGGAACUUUGGAGGACAUCCGAGAACUUUGUUCAUCGGGAUGCACAAUAAAUUCCUUCUUGUCUCGUUUAAACAGUCAAUUGUACGAAAGUACCAUAAUAGUUUAAGUGAUGACUAACGAAGUUACCUUUUCAGUUAUACCAACUUCAUUUGUUUUUGCAACUUUGAAGGUAAGAGAUUCUUCCCUCUGUAGCCUGCAUUGUGAAACAUAGGCGACAAAUUUUCACUAUAAAGCAGACAGGCUCAUUUCAAAGAAGUACAAUGAAGUAAUAUAACUGUGUCUUUAACAUGAAGAAAACUAUUGUAAUAAAUGAAUAAGGUAAAAAUGCACCUUGAUUACUACAGCAAUGUUACUAGAUUUUUCCAAAUAACUUUUCAGUGCACCCGCGUUCUGAAUUUAUCUCCUAGUGUUUGACAUAUCUUUCCAAGUAAUAGCAAUUAUGGCUUACCAGAUUAGUCAAAUAUACUUUUACUGCAUUCGCAUUCUGCCAAAUGAAUAUGUGCUAAGUUGCUGAAAAUAAAUAUAUAUAUAACACAUAUAAUGCUCAAGACCAAAACCUGUUUUCCGUUAUACGCUUUUCUGCUUUGGUGGACGAAUUUGCAAGGGAUUCUGACAGAACCUUCAGCUUGUCGACCUGCAAUGUUUUGUGGAAUGAAUAUUGAGAAACUAACCAUGUGUCAUUAAAAAAAGAGCACAAGGAGACAUGUUUUGAUGAAGAAAAAAUGCUCAAUUAUUCAACCGUGUCAAAUCUGAAUUCCAGAUUUAGAAAACUGAAGCAAAAAUAGAAGGGAAAAAACNNNNNCAAAAAAGGAAGCAAAUUAAUUUAAGUAUCAUACCUUCUGAAAAUGAGUCUCCAAUGAGUCGCCAUGAUGUAUUGAUUUCUUCUUUAGUACAAGAUCUUCCAUUCUGGAGCAUAGACGAACCUCAUCAACUGCAGUUUUGAAGUCCUAUGAAGAGUAGCAGAAUUUAGAAACGAAUCGCUGAACCUAGCCCUUAAUUUAUAUAUAAUUGAGGAAUGGAAAUAGUAUAAGACAACCGUACUUAAUGGGAUGAAAGUAUGGAACAAGUAACUUCAGUGAGCUGUUGAAGACUUUUUCUCGAAUACCGAGCUGUUGAAGAGUUGAGGGCCCGGGAUUUCGGAAUAUACGCACAAAAGACUAUAUGCACUUCUUUAAGAAAAGAUGCACUCAAUAUGUGAGCAUACGUUGCCUACACCAGAAAUUGUGUUCUUAUACUGAGGAAUGCUUAAGAUUUCAUCCAAUACUCAAUUAUUUCAAUUCUCGUAUGCCAUAUUCUCAGAUACAUGGUUUUAGUAGAAACCAAAGAACAAGCACAUGGGCAUAAUAAAAAAAAAGUUAUGUGUUUGCAUAAAAAAAAGUUACGUGAUUGCAUAACCAAAGAACCUGUUCCCCCACGCCCGCGUCGCUCCUGGCGGCGGCUCGGAUGGAACCCUAGCCGCAGUCGCAGCCGCUCCCUCCCCUGCUUCCUCCUCCCUCACCGUUGCCGAAGGAAGCCGGCGGGCUAAGCCCGGCCGACAGACGGCGAUGGCGAGGCGUUUCCUCGCCCUGCGGUGCGCUCUCGAGGCAAGGGAGUUCGGCCCUUCCACGGCCUCUCGCAGCGUGGCGUCACCGGCACCGACAGGCCUCCUUCGCCGCUCAGCGGCUCUCUCCGACGGGUCUUGGCGGGGUGGCGGCCCCCGUUUCCUCCUGUCUGAGCUCGUGCGGGUGCUUGUCGUCGGGUGUGGUGGCUUCCCAGAUCUGGCCAACUCCGGCCGAUUCUGGCUCCGUCGGGGGCCUGCCCUGGCUAGGGGUCGUGGUCUUCAGUGUGGUGUGCGUCGGCCGCGCUGUGGAGGUCUGCGGUUGUCGGGGCGGCAGCCCCGGAUUUGGUGGUGGCGGCUUCGUCCAGGGGCGGUGUGUCUGGUCAUGGUGGAUCAUGGGAUCUCGUGGUCAGAAUGAGGUAGGCCUCGUCAACUGCUGGUUGGUGGGCGGCGAGUGUUCGGUGCAGUUCCGUGAGAAAUCUUUGCUCCGGUCUCCAUCGGAGCCGGCGACGGCGGCGCCUGCGGGUGCCGUUAUCUUUCUUGAAAGCGUCGUUGUGGAGGUGUGCUACUCCUCCCCACGGCCUAAGCUCUGGAGGGAAACCUCAGAUCCCCUGGAUCGGGCGAUGGAGGCGUCUUUGCGUCUUUUUCCUCCUUGGGGCAUCAUCUCGGAGCCGACUACGACUGGGAGACUAGUGUAUUGUGGCAUCUUCGCCGUGGAUGGUAGCAUCUUCGCCGCAUGGUUUGUUGAGGUGGGGCGCUGGUUACUGUUUGCCAACGAUGAUGGCGUCGAGAGGAGCUCGGGUUGCGGCGUGGACUUUGUACUCGGUUCUUUCCGACGUGUUCGAGGUGGUCUUCCGUGGGUUGCUUGGUUGCUUUGAAGUCAGAGCUGUGGUGGAACGGCUCCAGGCGGUGACGAUGACGGGUGCUCGGUGGUCGUUUAUGAAGGGCACGGUUGGUGCAAAUCCUGUAUAUUUCCCUUGUGAUACUCGUCGUCAAGCUCGGAGCUGUCGGCUGCUCGCAUGUGUGGUCAGCCGGUGGCAUGUGCCGUCGUGGCUUAUUUGCAGCGGUUUGUAGGAUGGCUUCGAUGUUGGAGCUCGAUGGUGAAGUUGGAGUCACUCGUUCGAGGCAACCGGUGAUGACGAUGACGCUUGCGACUCCGCGGCGGACGUCUUUCUUCUUUGCAGCUUCAGGUCCCAUGUCGGUGGCCAGGUUGGCCGGUGAUGCUCAUGUUCAUAUGGGUUGUGUCUUGUAUCGGUUUUAGCCCGGUUUUCCAUCAAUUAGCCAGACAAUUCUCUUCUUCUUAAUCAAUGAAAAUGGCAAAUCUUUUGCCUCGUUUGAAAAAAAAGAAUGGUGACAAGUAAAGCAAAAUCCAAUAAAUAAGAGCAUUUUUUCUAUCCCGAUGCUAUUUGCACUCCUCAAUCUGACAAAAGCUCCACCUUACGAAUCAACCACAUGAAAAAAUUAGGCUAUAUUUCUCUUGUUUUCACGGGCCAGGUGAGUGAGCACACACACAAAAAAGAAUCAGCUAGCACAACAGAAAGGUAGCCUCCAUAUCACUCGCCUUCUUAAAACAGAAUGCUAAUAUUAGCAACAUAAGUAGGAGGACUUGUACCACACCUAAUUGAUGAUGGUGUGUCCAUACUACAAUAUGUUGAUGACACUAUUCCGUUCAUGAAACAUGAUGUUCCAAAGGCCCGAAAUAUGAAAUUGGUCCUUUGUUUGUUUGAACAGUUGUCUGCGCUGAAGAUUAAUUUUCACAAAAGCCAAUUGUUCUGCUUUGGAAAGGCCAAAGAAGAGCAGGAUACGUACAAACAGCUGUUCGGGUGUGCUUUAGGUAGCUUACCGUUUAGUUAUCUAGGCAUACCAAUUCAUCAUCGGAAGUCAUCCAAUAAGGAAUGGAAGUGUAUUGAGGAACGGUUCGAGGAAAAACUGAGUUGCUGGAAGGGCAAGUUGUUGUCUUAUGGUGGUAGGCUGGUCUUGAUAAAUUCAGUUCUCACCAGCAUGCCAAUGUUCCUUCUAUCUUUUUUUGAGAUACCUGUUGAGGUACGGAAAAGGUUGGACUUCUAUAGAUCCCGUUUCUUUUGGCAGAGUGAUGAGAUCAAAAGAAAAUAUAGACUUUCUCGUUGGGAUAUUAUCUGUAGACCCAAAGAGCAAGGAGGUCUUGGGAUCGAGAACUUGGAGGUCAAAAACAAAUGCUUGCUUAGCAAAUGGUUGUACAGACUGUCUGUAGAGUCCGAAGGCAUGUGGGUACAAAUUUUGAGAAAUAAGUACUUACAUGCUCAAACUUUGGCUCAAGCCACUUCGAAACCCAAUGAUUCACCCUUUUGGAAAGGACUUAUGAGAACGAAAGCAGCGUUCUUCAUAGGUCUAGGUUCAUCGUGGGUAAUGGGGAGUCUACGAGGUUUUGGGAAGACACGUGGUUGGAAGACACGUUGUUAGCCACGCAAUAUCAGGCUCUUUAUAAUAUUGUGCAACGUAAGGAGGCUUACGUGUGGCCAUUGUGUUACAGUCUGUUCCUCUGAAUAUUCAGUUCCGUGGGAGUUUGUUGGGAGAUCGUUGGUUGGCCUGGCUUGAUCUAGUCAGGAGGCUGAUGGAGGUUAAUUUAUCGUAUGAGGCCAAUACACUCCAUUGGAAGCUAUCUAAGAAUGGCAUAUUUUUGGUGAAAACGAUGUACUUGGACCUCAUUGACUUUGGAUCAAUCCCCAAAUCGAUUAAUAUUUGGAAGAUCAAAGUUCCUUUAAGAAUCAAAAUCUUCAUGUGGUUCAUUCACAAGGAAGUGAUUCUUACUAAGGAUAAUUUGGCAAAACGUAAUUGGGCUGGAAACAAAAGAUGUAACUUCUGUGAUCAACUUGAAACUAUCAAACACCUCUUUCUCGACUGUCCAUUAGCAAAAAUACUUUGGAGAUCCAUUCACAUAGCCUUUAAUAUCACACCUCCGACUAGCAUUCGCACGUUGUUUGGGAAGUGGCUAGACGGAGUAGACAUUGCUAUGGCAAAAAAUAUUCGCAUAGGAGUCUGUGCGUUACUUUGGGCUAUAUGGAAUUGUAGAAAUGAUAUGGUCUUUAACAGACAAAAUCACACAAAUUUCUUGCAGGUUUUGUACAGGGCAACUUCCUUGAUUCGUACAUGGUCGCUACUCACUCCUGCGGAGAACAUGAAGUUUUUGGCUAUUGGAUCUACCCGGUGGGAGAUGGUAGCACAAGAUAUCUACAACCGGUUUGGAUGACGGUCCAAUAGUAGAAUAGGUGGAUAGAUUUCUAGUCCUAUUAUAUGCCGGUUGUGGCUGUUUAUCUGUUUCGGAGCUUUUUUCUAAGCUUGUUUUGAACUGCAGAAUUUUUGCUUGAACUUUUAAUAAAGAGGUUGUAUGCAUCGCUCUGAUGCAGAGGCCGAAGGUGAGCC
rnacentral:lncRNA from 1 species